UUCAUGUGAUUAUGGAGGCUGGCAAGUCCAAAACCUGCAGGAUGGGCUGGCAGCCUGGAGUCCCAGGUAAAAGCUGAGAUUACAGUUUAAGUCUAAAGACCAUGAGGCUGAAGACCCACAGGAGAGCCGAUGUUGCAGUUCAAGUGUGAAGGCUGUCUGCUGCAGAAUUUACUCCUGCUUGGGGGAAGUCAGUCUUUUUGUUCUAUUCAGGCCAUUAUGGAGGGCAGUCUGUUGUACUCAGUUCCAUUGAUUUAAAUGUUAAUCUUACAGAAAAAGACAUUCACAGAAACAUUCAGAAUAAAAUUGACCACAAAUCUAGGUACUGUAACCCAACCAAGUCGGGUUACCUAAAUCUCUAUACUUGUUUAUUUGGGAAAAAAUCUCCCCCUGGUUGGAAAGAUGAGACAAGAUAUAAAAUUGGCCAUCACAGGGCUAAAUGUGGGUUAUCAAGUAAUGACUGUAUAAUCCUAACCUGAAAACAUUUCUCACUCCCUGCUUCCCACCCUUUCUCUCACCAAUUUGCAACAGAGUAAACAUAUGCUCCUCAACUUACAAUGGAGUUCAGUCCAGUUAAACCUAUCGUAAAGUCAAAUAAUUUUAAGUCGAACCAUCCUAAGUUGGAAUCCGUCUGUAUUGGACACAAUUAUGCAACAUGGAAUGGCUAUGCAUAUGUUUUAGACAGCUAUUGAAACACAGAAUUGAGCAUGGGAAUGGUUAAAUUUCCUAACUGCUGCUUGAAAAAACUCCCGUGGUUUCACGAGAAAAUCAGGUUCCUUGUAUUCCUUUGCAUGAAGCCUAACUUGAUGCUUUUGCUUUUAUACCUCUGAAUUGAUCACAUUGCCCUCAAAAAAAAAUCAAGCUGUGAAAAGACUUGCUCUAAAGGUGAGGCUCACCUCAUCCUGUCUACCUAAGAUAUCCAUGCCUUGAAGGUUCCAUCACUACAAUAUGAGAUAGGAUGGCAGAGGACAAUGUUCAAGUGCUUGGGUUCUGGACUCAGACUGACGUGGAUUUGAAUCCCUACUCUUCCAUUUAUCAGCUGUGUGAUCAUUGGACAUGUUACUUAAUUACUCUGUGUCUUGUCUGCAAAAAAUUGAGGCUAAAAUAUCUACACCACAAAAGGCUAUUAGGAGGAGUCAAGGUGAUAAGCAAGCCAUGGAGGAAACACAAUCUGACAUUCUCAUGGGUUUAACACUGGGACUCAGACAGCUUUUUAGAGAAAGAAUUUUUUUAAAGUGCAGUACAGGAAAGGGGACUGUAUCCAAGAGGUCCAGAAGGGUCGUGUGGACUAGCCACAGAAUUCAGCAAUGGUCUCAUAGGUUGUCAGGGGCCAGUCUCUCAUCUAAUGUAGGUUCAUUCAUUUAUCUGUUCAUUUAACAAAGAUCUGAGAGCUACUACACUCACAGCUUCCUACAUGAUCUAGUUACCCUGGGAAGUACAGAGUCGUAAAUUUGGACAUAUUUCAGAGUGAAAGGGAUGCUAUUAAGAAUUACUAAGGGACAACAGGCAAAAUCAGGACAUAUGGUCACUAUGCUAGGGAAAAUGUCUGGGAUAAGGAAAAAGAGUAAAUUGUCACCCUUUAAAGCUUUUUCUGUGCCCCCACUCACAUCCACACUCAUUCCCCCCUAUUCCAGAGUGACAGUCUAUGAUGAAAGAAGAAGAGUAUUAUAUUCAGUCAAGAAUUAGGACCGAUCACAUUUUGGAGAAGGCAUUGUACUGAAAUUAUUAGAAAAAUAUUAUGAAAAUAGUUGAAGAGAAAUGUAAUGAAAAUAAUUGAAGCUGUGCUUACUGCACAAGGAGACCAAGAAAAACUCCCACAAAAUCAGCUGCAAGUAAAUCCCUCUGGAUGGUGCCGCCAAAUGUUCCUACAAGUCCGGAACAACACUUGCCAAACCAAAGACGCUUGGCAGAACCCUGUUCCUUUCUAGAGACAGAGCUGUGUACCUGUUCCAAAACACCACAUCUCACUCAGUGACUUAUUUCUCAUUAUGCUAAUUGUUUUGCUGUAAAGUGCCAAUGUUGCUGUGAAUUAAGACGUACGAAUAAAUUUCUGAAGUUACCUUUGC